CUUGAUGGGCACUAGUCACUUUAACUUUGUAUCUAUUUGUUGAGCCACUAUUCUUGCUUCCACAGUUUCUUGGGUCCCACAUACUUUCCCACAGUCACCACGUCCUUCUUGCAGCAUUAUCUUAGGAAGUCUCACCUAUUCAUGCAGCCUACUGAUUACCCUCUCUAUCCCCACAUUUAGUCUACCCUAGGGGGCCAACACGUUUAAUAUACCUUACUUCCCCUGGCACAAUUAAGAGCGCCGUUUCAAGUGCUGGGCAACUAUUUCCCCGCUAGGCAUUUAUCAUACAGCUAGGCAAUUAGGUUUUGUUGAUUGUUUUUUCGUUUCUGACAGGUACUCAAUUUUUGCCCUCUUUUAUUACAGGCCUACCACAACGUCGGUUCCGGCACACCUCAACCGACUUAUUUGCCCCUCACACAAAUGUUAAGGCUUGACCU